CCUCAUUUAAGGGAUGGCAGCUGAACAUGAAGAGCCUCUACUUGCAGAUUGCCUCCUUUAGGAGUUUCUAGGGAGCCUGGAUCCUCAGGGGAGGUGAUACGAAGAGGACUUCAUACUGAAAGGAUCCUUGAAAUGUUAGAAAGGAACCAGCGGUCUUUGGAAAGACUUCAUCUCAAGAGAACCCACACAGCAGAAAGUACUCGAGCUGGAUGAGAGGUGUCAGGGCUGAAUGGAAAGGUGAAGGGGAGCUCUGCUGCUGGCUGCCAGACAGGCUCCUGCACCAAACAGCUUGAGGUGAGCCCUCAGCCUGGCUGGGCUGAGAGGAAAUCCAGAGAGCAGAGCUACAAGCUGGGGGAAGAGCAGGAGACAUCUUAAAGCUGUGAUUGUCUACAAAUAUUAACUGACCCUGGGCUUUGUAACUGCCAAAAAAUGAUGCUUGAGAAAUGUGGCGCCAGGAAUCCUGAAGUCACUUCUGGAGCUUUGGAAAAUGCAGCUGCCUUGGGAUGUCAGCCCACGAUGGUUGUUAUUAUCCACUGUGCAGAAUGAAGCUUCUGUUGGGAGCGCUCACAAAGGCCAUCAUUCUUCACAAAUAGUGGCUGUUUUUAUCACCUGGCAGUAAUGACACUCUCUGGUCCCUUUAAUAUCCGAGUGCGGUCCCAGAGUAUGGCUGGGAAACUCAUCUCGGGCUUGGCCCUGCACAGGGGAGCAAGCGGCUCGCCAUUCUCUGCCAAGGGCAUGGUUACCGGUGUGAAAACGGGCAGGGUUUGUGCAAUAACAGCCCCUCGGACAGGCUCAGCCUCCUGCAGGCUAGGUUCAGCUGUUUGCUGUGGAACGGAGCAGCACACAUCACAGUGUAUGUUGAUGUGCCACCACAGGGACAAGUGUGACCAGACCCCUCCUGGGGAUGAGAUCAGAGAUGACACUGACCAUGCUUCAAGCCACGGGGAGCUGUGACUUUCAGCAUCCUUGGCUCCAUGUCUCCUCUCCUACCUUGAUAGUAAAGUACCGGGUGAUUCAGGUUGAUGCGCACCCUGCAUGCAAGUCCCAUGUGCUAGGAAAUGACCUUGAAUUUUGGAGCUUUUCCAGCGUAUCGUGGGGACACAGCCCCCAGAACAUGGGCUGUGGUGUGGCUGAUGUCUCAUAGCCAGCCCUUGUCCCUGUGCAGGCUGCGGCGGUGCCACAGACCUGACCCUGGAGGUGCUGGGGAAGUGACUCACGGCACGAAGCCGGAGACGCUCAGCCUGCUUAGCUUACUAAAAAGAACAGGAGGUGACUUAAUUGUGCUGUGUGAGAUACCUUCAUGGAGAGAGAAAGGCAGGCUUUAAAGAUACCAGAAAGGAAAAGCUUUCACCAUCCUAGUUUCUUGUAAGAUAGGAAGAUAAAGCCAUACUUGAGCACCUCAGUGGGAACCAGCAGCAGGGUCUGGAAUCGCUGGUUGCCUGACAACACUGAAUCGU